GCAGUGCGGCGGCGUGGUCGGAGGUGGCAACGCGGCCGUGCGGAGGCGGGGAUGAAUCACGAUGGCGGCAGCUUCCGCUCCCUCCUCGAAGGUGGACGAAGCUAAUGUCAAGGUGGAGGCUAAUGCCAUGGCGGCGGGUGCCAGGACUCCUCCGCGGCGGUGGUGCACGUCUCCCUCCGCAACCUUUUCUGCAGGCAAAGGUUUCUUAGGUGAUGCUCUUCUCAUCCUUAACCUUGCCGUUGCAUUGCAGAUCCUGCUUCUUCUAGAUCCCUUUUUCCUUUUGCUAACCCCGAAGUCAUCCCCGAAGGGAUGACGACCUGCACCCGCCGGAUCCGGAGAAAGCGAGCAAGAACAACCCACCGGCUGCCACUACUCCGUCGCUUGCGCUGGUCCGGCUUCCUCUCCCGCUAGAGACCAUCCCCGGUGCCACUUCUGCCGCAGCUCGUGCUUCAGAUUUGAAGAAAGGCGUCUGUGUUAGUGCAGCCAAGAAGAAGCAAGCUGCCGCCGCCACCGGUCGACGCCUCAUCAAGCCAUAUGCGGUCGCAGCUGCAGUAGACAGGAGUCGUCGACCUCCUUGUCUCCGAUGUUUACAGCUGCUGCAGGCCGUAACCAGAGUCUUCAUCCCCUUUGGGGUAAGAAAAUUAUUUGAUGUUCGGCAGUGCCAUUUGAUUUGUGUCAAGAAUAGUGAUAGGAAUUUGUGCGUGCUGUACAUCGAAGAUGCUCCUAUGGUCAAGGAUUCCUUAAAUCUUUUCUUCCUUGUAGCUAGCAAAAUCAUUACAAAUUAGUA
rnacentral:lncRNA from 1 species